AAAGUAGAUCAAGCAAUCGCUCUCCGCCUCAGGCGGAGAGAGGAAAGUCCGGACUCCAUAGGACAGGGUGGCCGCUAACGGCGGCUCCGAGAAAUCGGGGGAAAGUACCACAGAAAAUACACCGCCCACCGUUUGCGACGAUGGGUAAGGUUGAAAAGGCGAGGUAAGAGCUCACCGGUCCAUCAGUAAUGGUGGAUGCUUGGCAAACCCCACCCGGAGCAAGACCAAAUAGGAGGGUUGGGUGGUCCGCCCAUAGCCCUUGGGUAAGGUCGCUCGACCCCUUGAGUAAUCAGGGGGCAAGAUGAAUGAUUGCUGUGACUUCUAUUAAUAGUCACUACAGAAUCCGGCUUACCGAUCUACUUUAGCC
rnacentral:RNase_P_RNA from 1 species